GCAGUAGCCGCGGUAAUACGUAGGGUGCAAGCGUUAAUCGGAAUUACUGGGCGUAAAGCGUGCGCAGGCGGUUAUAUAAGACAGAUGUGAAAUCCCCGGGCUCAACCUGGGAACUGCAUUUGUGACUGUAUAGCUAGAGUACGGCAGAGGGGGAUGGAAUUCCGCGUGUAGCAGUGAAAUGCGUAGAUAUGCGGAGGAACACCGAUGGCGAAGGCAAUCCCCUGGGCCUGUACUGACGCUCAUGCACGAAAGCGUGGGGAGCAAACAGGAUUAGAUACCCCAGUAGUCCCUGUCUCUUAUAC
rnacentral:rRNA from 1 species